AGUGAACGCUGGCGGUAGGCCUAACACAUGCAAGUCGAACGGCAGCACAGUAAGAGCUUGCUCUUACGGGUGGCGAGUGGCGGACGGGUGAGGAAUACAUCGGAAUCUACUUUUUCGUGGGGGAUAACGUAGGGAAACUUACGCUAAUACCGCAUACGACCUACGGGUGAAAGCAGGGGAUCUUCGGACCUUGCGCGAUUGAAUGAGCCGAUGUCGGAUUAGCUAGUUGGCGGGGUAAAGGCCCACCAAGGCGGCGAUCCGUAGCGGGUCUGAGAGGAUGAUCAGCCACACUGGAACUGAGACACGGUCCAGACUCCUACGGGAGGCAGCAGUGGGGAAUAUUGGACAAUGGGCGCAAGCCUGAUCCAGCCAUACCGCGUGGGUGAAGAAGGCCUUCGGGUUGUAAAGCCCUUUUGUUGGGAAAGAAAAGCAGCAGGUUAAUACCCCGCUGUUCUGACGGUACCCAAAGAAUAAGCACCGGCUAACUUCGUG
rnacentral:rRNA from 1 species